ACAGGGAUUGCCUCAGUAACGGCGAGUGAAGCGGCAACAGCUCAAAUUUGAAAUCUGGCUCUUUCAGGGUCCGAGUUGUAAUUUGUAGAAGAUGCUUCGGGUGUGGUUCCGGUCUAAGUUCCUUGGAACAGGACGUCAUAGAGGGUGAGAAUCCCGUAUGUGACCGGCUACCUUCGCUCAUGUGAAGCUCUUUCGACGAGUCGAGUUGUUUGGGAAUGCAGCUCAAAAUGGGUGGUAAAUUUCAUCUAAAGCUAAAUAUUGGCCAGAGACCGAUAGCGCACAAGUAGAGUGAUCGAAAGAUGAAAAGCACUUUGGAAAGAGAGUUAAAUAGUACGUGAAAUUGUUGAAAGGGAAGCGCUUGCAAUCAGACUUGCACGCAGUUGAUCAUCCGGUGUUCUCACCGGUGCACUCUGCUGCGUUCAGGCCAGCAUCGGUUCUGGUGGUUGGAUAAAGGCCUUGGGAAUGUAGCUCCUUUCGGGGAGUGUUAUAGCCCUCGGUGCAAUGCAGCCUACCGGGACCGAGGACCGCGCUUCGGCUAGGAUGCUGGCGUAAUGGUUGUAAGCGACCCGUCUUGAAACACGGACCAAGGAGUCUAACAUCUAUGCGAGUGUUUGGGUGUCAAACCCAUACGCGUAAUGAAAGUGAACGGAGGUGAGAACCCUUAAGGGUGCAUCAUCGACCGAUCCUGAUGUCUUCGGAUGGAUUUGAGUAAGAGCAUAGCUGUUGGGACCCGAAAGAUGGUGAACUAUGCGUGAAUAGGGUGAAGCCAGAGGAAACUCUGGUGGAGGCUCGCAGCGGUUCUGACGUGCAAAUCGAUCGUCAAAUUUGCGCAUAGGGGCGAAAGACUAAUCGA
rnacentral:rRNA from 1 species